UGGCCUGUGGAAGAGGGGAUCUGGCCUA
rnacentral:piRNA from 1 species